rnacentral:lncRNA from 1 species
UGCUCCGGGUAUUUUUGUUUGGAAAAUCUAUCCCAGCAGGGCACAGCUGUCUCUUGGAUGUGCAGAAAAGAAAGAUAUGCUUGUGGCAACCAGAAACUUUUAAGCUCUUUCAGGUUGUAUAAAAUGAGCCUGCAGAAACGUUUAAGUGUUCUCAGGAUGCAAAGUUGGAGCCGAAAUAUGUCAAACCAGUUACAAAAGUGUACAGCAGAAAUCUCUUGAGGUCAAACCUCCUACCCAGAUAUGCAAAAAACCUUCAGGACCCACAGCUUGUUGACCUCCUCCCGUUUUGUGUGAAUUUCACAAAAAUUCAUAUUGGUAGAGAGGAUUUGCUCAUACCCCUCCCCAAUCUGACCUUCCUAGUCUUUUAAGAGAUGCUGACGUAUCCUUCCAACUUGUCAGAGGGUAAAGGGGGGCUGGAAACUAAUUCUUCAUCCAGGAGGAACCUGGAGAACCAGCUGCUGUGCGUGCUGAGGCGUGAGGCUGACUUUCCAAAGCACAAGCUUCACUCUGAUUAAGAACAACUUCUGAAUGUCUCCACCUCCGAUAAUGACUGUAUUCUUCUCUUACGUUCGAAAAAUUUGCGCUGGAGUUGGAAGGAGGCCCUGGCUGCCGGCAGCGGCAGGCUGCUGCAGAGUGGGGUCUGUGUCCUGAGCGCGGCGUCCGGCAUCUGGGCCUGGAGCGCGGCCGGGCGGAGGGGCGCCGCCCCGGGGCUUCGGGGACCGGGGCUCAGCAGCGCCUCCUGGGCCGCCGCGGUGUCACCCCGCACGCGCGUGCCGCCGCCAAGCGGCCGGGGACCAGGAGAGGAUGGGGCUGGAACGUCUGGCUCCUCAGCGGAGCUGGGGGGCUAAGCCGGCUCCGGUGACACCGCCAGCACCCCCACAGGAAGUGAUUUUAAUAACAGUAUCACUAGAAGGUGUUAUACCUGGCCCCAGCAAGGUAGACCAGCAGGCUCAUCAGGGCGACAAAGAAGAUGGUGAUGCAAAGGGACGUUGGUAGCCUGCAGUUCCUGAGGGCAG